rnacentral:rRNA from 1 species
AUUGAACGCUAGCGGGAUGCCUUACACAUGCAAGUCGAACGGAUUGGCGAACGGGUGAGUAAUGUAUCGGAACGUGCCCAGUAGCGGGGGAUAACUACGCGACAGCGUAGCUAAUACAGCAUCCUAUUGGAGCGGCCGAUAUCGGAUUAGCAAGUUGGUGGGGGAACGGCUCACCAAGGCGACGAGCCGUAGCUGGUUUGGGAGGACGACCAGCCAAACUGGGACUGAUACACGGCCCAUAAUCCUACGGGAGGCAGAAGGGGGGAAGUGUGGACAAUGGGGGACACCCGUAUCAAGCCAUCCCGCGUGUGCGAUGAAGGCCUUCGGGUUGUAAAGCACUUUUGGCAGGAAAGCGGUACCUGCAGAAUACGCACCGGCUAACUACGUGCCAGCAGCCGCGGUAAUAC